rnacentral:rRNA from 1 species
GAUGAACGCUAGCGGCAGGCUUAACACAUGCAAGUCGAGGGGCAGCACGGGUAGCAAUACCUGGUGGCGACCGGCGCAAGGGUGCGUAACGCGUGAGCAACAUGCCCUAUACAGGGGGAUAAUCCAGGGAAACUUGGUCUAAUAUCCCAUAGCAUUUAGAGGAGGCAUCUUCACUAAAUUAAAGCUUCGGUGGUAUAGGAUUGGCUCGCGUGACAUUAGCUAGAUGGUGAGGUAACGGCCCACCAUGGCUAUGAUGUCUAGGGGUUCUGAGAGGAAGACCCCCCACACUGGGACUGAGACACGGCCCAGACUCCUACGGGAGGCAGCAGUGAGGAAUAUUGGACAAUGGAUGGAAAUCUGAUCCAGCCAUGCCGCGUGCAGGAAGACGGCCCUAUGGGUUGUAAACUGCUUUUAUAUGGGAGCAAUAAGGUUUACGCGUAGACCGAUGAGAGUACCAUAUGAAUAAGCAUCGGCUAA